rnacentral:lncRNA from 1 species
UAGAGUGUCAAAGAAAAUAAGAAACUCAUGUUGAGUAGAAGAAGCAGAAGUACAGACCAACAAAGCUACUAGCCUCAAAGUUUCAAUUUGAUUUCAAGAAGACAAGGAGGGACGAAUCACGAAAGAUGAAGAGGCGAGAUUGGUGACAACGCUAGCUUGAAAAUGCAAAUACAAUGAAAAAAGAGGAAGGGCGAAGUUGCCAAGAAACAAUGACAACAAUAUUCAAAGCCACAAAUGGCGUACAUCAAGAUAUUCAAAAGUCAUAGAAGGGCGUACAAAUUAUCUAAGAAAUAUCAACAACAAAAGGAAGGACAAGACGACAAGCACACAAAUAGUAUGAGUCAGCAACAAAUAGGCGACAUAGAACCACGCCGAGACAUAAUAAUCGCCAAGUUACUUCAUUCAAAAGCACUUCGCCUUCUUGAAGCCUCGUGCUUGGGGGGCUGUGUACCGGGCC